AUUGAACGCUGGCGGCAGGCUUCACACAUGCAAGUCGAGCGAGCGGCGGACGGGUGAGUAAUGUCUGGGAAACUGCCUGAUGGCGGGGGAUAACUACUGGAAACGGUAGCUAAUACCGCAUACCAUCAGAUGUGCCCAGAUGGGAUUAGCUAGUAGGUGGGGUAAUGGCUCACCUAGGCGACGAUCCCUAGCUGGUCUGAGAGGAUGACCAGCCACACGGGAAUGGAGACACGGGCCAGCCUCCUACGGGAGGCAGCAGUGGGGAAUAUUGCACAAUGGGCGAAAGCCUGAUGCAGCCAUGCCGCGUGUGUGAAGAAGGCCUUCGGGUUGUAAAGUACUUUCAGCGAGGAGGCGUUACUCGCAGAAGAAGCACCGGCUAACUCCGUGCCAGCAGCCGCGGUAAUUC
rnacentral:rRNA from 1 species